UCGAAGCUGGCGGUUAGAGGAAGGCAACUUUGGUUACCGACAUGCUCGACAUCCGGCAACUGAUAAGGGCAUCGAUGGUCAGCGAAAAUAUACCACGAGACUCUUGUCCUUUAUUAAUAUUUUGCAUAUUUAAGCUAUUUUCUGUAUAAUUGCAUAUUUAUUUAUGCAUGCACUUAAAUGUUUCAAAACAAUUGCAAUAACAUGCAAAAAAUAGGUUGAUUAACGCUAAAAGAAAAAAAAA
rnacentral:lncRNA from 1 species